AGAGUUUGAUCAUGGCUCAGAAUGAACGUUGGCGGCGUGCUUAACACAUGCAAGUCGAGCGAGAAAACUCCUUCGGGAGUUAGUACAGCGGCGGACGGGUGAGGAACGCGUAAGAAUCUUCCCUUCAGUGAAGAAUACCCUUGAGAAAUCGAGGAUAAUACUGCAUAUUCCCUACGGGGCAAAGGUGGCUUUAUGCUGCCGCUGAAGGAUGAGCUUGCGUGCUAUUAGCUAGUUGGUGAGGUAAAGGCUCACCAAGGCGAUGAUGGCUAGCCGGCCUGAGAGGGUGUACGGCCACAUUGGGACUGAGAUACGGCCCAGACUCCUACGGGAGGCAGCAGUGAGGAAUAUUGCGCAAUGGGCGAAAGCCUGACGCAGCGACGCCGCGUGGAGGAUGACGGUCUUCGGAUUGUAAACUCCUGUUAAGUGGGAAGAAAACCCAAUCUCUAACAUAGAUUGGAUAUGACGGUACCACUAGAGAAGAC
rnacentral:rRNA from 1 species